GGAGGGAUGGCCGAGUGGACGAUGGCGGCAGUCUUGAAAACUGUUGGGGGCGCAAGUCUCCCGUGGGUUCGAAUCCUACUCCCUCCGCCA
rnacentral:tRNA from 1 species